GUUGGGAUAGCUUGGUAGGUAGAGCAUGGGACUCUUAAUUUCAGGGUCAUGGGUUCGAGCCCCACUUUGGGCA